AGAGUUUGAUCCUGGCUCAGGACGAACGCUGACGGUGUGCUUUAGGCAUGCAAGUCGAACGAGAAAGCCCUUCGGGGUGAGUAAAGUGGCGAACGGGUGAGUAACACGUGGGCAACCUGCCCCUCGCAGGGGGACAACCGGAGGAAACUCCGGCUAAUACCCCGUACGCUUGCUGGAUCGCAUGGUCCGGCAAGGAAAGGUAGCUUCGGCCAUCCGGCGAGGGAUGGGCCCGCGUUGCAUUAGCUAGUUGGUGGGGUAACGGCCUACCAAGGCGACGAUGCGUAGCUGGUCUGAGAGGAUGAUCAGCCACACUGGGACUGAGACACGGCCCAGACUCCUACGGGAGGCAGCAGCCAGGAAUCUUGGGCAAUGGGCGAAAGCCUGACCCAGCAACACCGUGUGGGCGAUGAAGGCCUUAGGGUCGUAAAGCCCUGUUGAUAGGGACGAAGGGCGAAGGGUUAAUAGCCCCUAGCUUGACGGUACCUUUCGAGGAAGCCCCGGCUAACUACGUGCCAGCAGCCGCGGUAAUACGUAGGGGGCGAGCGUUGUCCGGAAUUAUUGGGCGUAAAGAGCGUGUAGGCGGUUCGGUAAGUCUGCUGUGAAAUCCUGGGGCUCAACCCUGGGCGUGCAGCGGAUACUGCCGGGCUAGAGGGUGGUAGAGGCGAGUGGAAUUCCGAGUGUAGCGGCGAAAUGCGCAGAUAUUCGGAGGAACACCAGUAGCGAAGGCGGCUCGCUGGGCCACACCUGACGCUGAGACGCGAAAGCGUGGGGAGCGAACAGGAUUAGAUACCCYNGUAGUCC
rnacentral:rRNA from 1 species